rnacentral:rRNA from 1 species
GUUUGAUUAUGGCUCAGGACGAACGCUUGCGGCGUGCCUAAGAAAUGCAAGUCGAACGGACAGAGCAGCAAUGUUCUGUUAGUGGCGAACGGUCGCGUAACACGUAAGCAACCUGCCUCAAAGUGGGGGACAACAGGCCGAAAGGCCUGCUAAUACCGCAUGUGAACCGGACUUGGCAUCAAGUCCUGUUUAAAGGAUUUAUCCGCUUUGAGAUGGGCUUGCGGCCUAUCAGGUAGUUGGUGGGGUAAUGGCCUACCAAGCCGACGACGGGUAGCUGGUCUGAGAGGACGAUCAGCCGGAUUGGGACUGAGAUACGGCCCAGACUCCUACGGGGGGCAGCAAUUAGGAAUCUUGCACAAUGGGGGAAACCCUGAUGCAGCGACGCCGCGUGCGGGACGAAGGCCUUCGGGUCGUAAACCGCUUUUUUAGGGGAAGAAGUAUGUGACGGUACCCUAAGAAUAAGCCCCGGCUAACUACGUGCCAGCAGCCGCGGUAAUACGUAGGGGGCGAGCGUUGUCCGAAGUUACUGGGCGUAAAGCGCGCGUAGGCGGCCAUCUAAGUUCGGGGUGAAAGGUUCAACGCUCAACGUGAACAGUGCCCUGAAUACUGGUUGGCUUGAGUUCGGGAGGGGGCAGUGGAAUUCCGGGUGUAGCGGUGAAAUGCGUAGAUAUCCGGAGGAACACCGAUGGCGAAGGCAGCUGCCUGGCCCAGAACUGACGCUGAGGUGCGAAAGCGUGGGGAGCGAACGGGAUUAGAUACCCCGGUAGUCCACGCCGUAAACGAUGAGUGCUAGGUGUUCGGGGUAUCGACCCCCCGGGUGCCGCCGCUAACGCAGUAAGCACUCCGCCUGGGGAGUACGGCCGCAAGGUUGAAACUCAAAGGAAUUGACGGGGGCCCGCACAAGCGGUGGAGCAUGUGGAUUAAUUCGUCACUAACCGAAGAACCUUACCCAGGCUUGACAUCUGAGGCACCGGCGUGAAAGCGUCGUUCCCUUCGGGGACCUCAAGACAGGUGUUGCAUGGCUGUCGUCAGCUCGUGUCGUGAGAUGUUGGGUUAAGUCCCGCAACGAGCGCAACCCUCACCUGAUGUUGCCAGCGUAAAGUCGGGAACUCUUCAGGAACUGCCCGUGCAAGCGGGAGGAAGGUGGGGACGACGUCAAGUCGGCAUGGCCCUUACGCCUGGGGCUUCACACAUGCUACAAUGGACGGUACAGAGGGGGGCGAGACCGCGAGGUGGAGCAAAUCCCAAAAACCCGUCCUCAGUUCGGAUUGCAGGCUGCAACUCGCCUGCAUGAAGCUGGAAUCGCUAGUAACCGCAGGUCAGCUAAACUGCGGUGAAUACGUUCCCGGGCCUUGUACACACCGCCCGUCAAGUCACCUGAAUUGUCUGCACCCGAAGCCGGUGGCCUAACUCCCGCAAGGGAGGAGGAGCCGUCUAAGGUGUGGGGAGUAAGGGGGACUAAGUCGUAACAAGGUAGCC